UAAAAUAGAACAAUUAUAUAGAUAGAACAUCUAUAUGUCCACAACUAAUGUAAUAUACUGAAAAUUCGAAAAAAUAAAUAUCGAACUUUAGUCAAAUUGACCAAAGUGCGAGAUUGGUACACUUCGAAAAAUCCGAAGGUGUUAAAAUGAGUAAAUGUGCAUUGUGGGAGGUUUUCGAGAGCUAAAGAAUCAAAAAUCUGCAUUAUGCAGGUUUUGU
rnacentral:lncRNA from 1 species